rnacentral:rRNA from 2 species
UAUGACUCUCGGCAACGGAUAUCUCGGCUCUCGCAUCGAUGAAGAACGUAGCGAAAUGCGAUACGUGGUGUGAAUUGCAGAAUCCCGUGAACCAUCAAGUCUUUGAACGCAAGUUGCGCCCGAGGGACCCUCCCGAGGGCACGCCUGCCUGGGCGUAAGAA